rnacentral:misc_RNA from 1 species
GGAUGAGAAACCGAAGAAGGGUCAAUUGAGCUCGUCCAGAUUCUUCCACUUCCUCACCAAUACCGAUGGCUGCCGCCGCCGCCGCCGCCGCCUGCGUGGCCGCGCAGCCACUGAUGAUCAGAGCUAGAACCUCGGCCGCCGCCCGCCUUCCUCAUCCCCUCGUCCCUUGGCCCUACCGACCUGCCGCCGGCGCUGCUCUCGUCGCCCGUCGGUUCCCUGGAUCUCCCCCCUCGCUAUCCGUCCGAUGUUUCUCCGCGCUGAGCCCGGAGAUGAAGUCGACCCUGGACAAGGUUGUGGGCUCCCAUAAGGUCAUCCUCUUCAUGAAGGGGAACAAGGAUUUCCCUCAGUGCGGCUUCUCCAACACUGUAGUUCAGAUACUCAAGUCCGUCAAUG